AAGCACUUGAUACUAACCAAGCCAUCUCUGCCUUGGUUCUCAUCUUGAGUUCAGAGGUAUAACUGAUGAUCGGCUGGGUCUGAAAAGUGCAACAUCAAAACAAGCCAUGAAGUGUUAAAGCUCAGUGUGUGGAGAAACACACAGGGUUAUAACUCAGAGGCACAGAG
rnacentral:snoRNA from 1 species